UUUGCGACUGUAUCCAGGCCAU
rnacentral:miRNA from 1 species